CUUGCACUUCUGACGUUAGCGGCGGACGGGUGAGUAACACGUAAGGAACCUACCGAUAAGCGGGGGACAACAUCCGGAAACGGGUGCUAAUACCGCAUAGGAAAGGUCACCACAUGGUGACCUUUGGAAAGACGGCUUUGCUGUCACUUAUCGAUGGCCUUGCGGUGCAUUAGCUCGUUGGUGGGGUAACGGCCUACCAAGGCAAUGAUGCAUAGCCGACCUG
rnacentral:rRNA from 1 species